GGGCCCGUCCAGAGCCGCAGGCUGGCGCCCUGGAGGGGAGGGAGGCUCUGCAAGAGAGGCUGGGACUGACUCGGUGAAGCCCGGCAAGGAUCCUGCCCCUUGGGAUGCAACAACCCCAGAGUGCAGCUUGAAGGAGAGGUGCUGAACGCCUUGAUGAGAUCCUGAAGACAUUUGGCAAUUGGGAGAUGAAAAAGCAAGUAUUCAUCUUCUCUGUUCCUGCUUCAGAAGGUCAUAGGAUCACCAGAACACAGAAGAUGUGCUCCAGACUCUCCUGCAGGCAACAUAAAAUAAUGCCCACCCAGGGAGAAUGUGGGAAGGUGUGGAAGGCUUAAUGGCUUUUUAUUACAGCUGUGAUAGUAAAAAAUAAUAAAAGUCCAUUCUCUGA